UACAGAGGUCUCAAGCGUUGUUCGGAUUCAUUGGGCGUAAAGGGUGUGUAGGUGGCGCCGUAAGUCGGGUGUGAAAUUUCGGAGCUUAACUCCGAAACUGCAUUCGAUACUGCGGUGCUUGAGGACUGGAGAGGAGACUGGAAUUCAUGGUGUAGCAGUGAAAUGCGUAGAGAUCAUGAGGAAGACCAGUGGCGAAGGCGGGUCUCUGGACAGUUCCUGACGCUGAGGCACGAAAGCUAGGGGAGCAAACAGG
rnacentral:rRNA from 1 species